GGAAAAAGAGUGAAAAAAAUGAUAUUAAUUUCAACCUGACACAAAAAGAGGUGUUGUUCAAAGUGCAGAAGGGAAGCCAUAAGUCACAGAUCUAGCCAUAAAGUGGAGAAGGGAAGCCAUAAAUCACAGAUCUAGCCGAACUUCGAUUCCAAAUAAUCUUUCACUCUUAGUGAUUUGAGCUCAAGCAACAUCCAAAAAAUGCUUUUGGACAAGAAUGAUAUUCAAGAAACUCAUUAUGAGGUUCUCCAUGUCAAGGAACAUGCAAAUUAUGAAGAAAUUCGUGCUGGUUACCGAAGUGUUGUACUCAGCUUACAUCCUGAUAGGCUAUUGAAGACGUCCAAGACAUCCAGCAGUAAUCAAACAACCAGAGAGAUUUCUCAAAGUACAGAAGGCGUGGGAGAUUCUGUGUAAUUCAAGCUCCCGCUCAUUUUAUGAUAAUGAGCUGCGAAGUUCAAGGAAGGAUGUCUUGGCUGCUUACAUUGCUGAAGAUUUGAGCUUAAGGAAGGAUGUCUUGGCUGCUGACGUUGCCGAAGAUUUGAGCUUACAGGAUAUGAUGAUUGAAGAUGAUGGAGAAGCAUUGGAACUGUUUUAUCAAUGCAGAUGUGGCGAUUACUUCUCUGUAGACUCUUGGAAUUGAAGAAAAUGGCAUAUUCCUUAUUGAGGGUGGGAAGUGGGAUAUCUGUACUCUAUGCUGAUACCUUACCUGGAUCAGUGAUUCUUCCAUGUGGAUCUUGUUCGUUAAAAGCUCGUCUGCUAAUCAAUAUGGAUGCCAAUUGAAAUUAAAUUAUCACUGAUUUUUGGCAUGAAUAAUGAUGACUGGUAUUUCUAACAUUUUUUGUAUGAAGAUAGUUACAACUGCCUGUCAUUGGGAAAAUUCCUGGGGCAGAAAUCUGGAGUGUCAUUUUGAUUUUGGAAAAUGGAAUGCAGUGAUAUUAGUUUCAGCUA